AGACCGCGAGCGGGUUCGAGCCUGGCCGGCAGAGCAGCGCCGCCGCCGUCGGGCGCGCAGCUCUGCAGCUCCGCGAACGCCUUGGCGCCCGCAGCCCCAGGGGCCCGGCGGCCCCGCAUCGUGCCCGGCCCCGUCGCGGAGAUCCCGGACGACCGUCGCGGGUUGAUGGUCGCGUUCCAGAUGUAAACAGCUUCAGAAGCCUGACCAUCAUAUGGUGAACAGUUUACACUCUCAUAUAUGCCCUGUCACGUGCUUUGAAGGACUUUCUAGGGUCAUCAAGGCUGAAGGCCUGAAUAGAACAAAACUCUGGCCCUACCCCUGAGUGAGGGGGAAUUUGUCCUGCCUGACGGUCUUUGGAGCUGGGACAUCAGUUUUUCCCUCCUGCUUUUGGUCUUGGACUGGAACUCCACCAUUGCUCUCCUGGUUCUCCAGUUUGCCAACUGCAGAUCUUCAGAUGUGUUAACCUCCAUGAUCACAUGAGCCAAUUCCUUAUAAUAAAUAUCUUUAUGCAGAUAUAUACAUGUGUGUUGUGCAUGUGUGUACAUAUGUAUGGAUUCUGUUUCUCAUGAGAACCGUGACUAGUACAAGCUCUCAUACCUAGUCACUGUCCGCCUCCUAAUUUCUCAGGCUGGCAGGCAUCUGACCAGCAUUCCUGCAGAUGCUUCGGGGAAACACGUGAGCCACAGUCUCUUCACUUCCAUUUGCUUCUGCCCCUCUUAUCUCCGAACUCACAGCUCAGUUUUUAACACAUUCAGAUCAUUCUCAUAUUCUUCCUCCUUUAUUCUAAUUUAUUGAUCUUAAGAGAAUUUCUUUCCUCUUUCUCUGCUUUCUCCAUUUUUCUUUCCU